AGCUAUCAUAAUGUGUCUUCGCAACUGCUUGGUUUCUUGUGUACACGUUUUGUCUUCCUUUGCCCGAUGGUGUGUUAGGUCUCUUCGUGGGGCUUUGGGACUGGGCCCGUCCCAAAGCCAGGGUGGGGACUGUACUGAGGUGACCGAGGUUAUGCGGGCACUACCUCCCGGUAGUGAUGAGGUCGUUGCUUUGGCUGUGACGGAGGAGCUGUCUACUGAGGUGACUCCCUUCGCUAGCCAGGACCCUGUCCGUCCCGUUGAUGUUGCGGUAAUCCCAGAGGAUACGCCCGCCGCUGACGUCGAAGAGAUUGAUGUUGUUAAAAGAAGUAAAGUUCAACUAUCAACAGUGAAACUAUUCUGGCUGUGAAGAAUUUGAGACUCGUGAAGAAUGUGUUCAUCACCUGUUGGCAAGUACAGAACAGAGAUUACAGAACAGAAAUUACAGAACAGAGAUUACAGAACUGAGAUUACAGAACAGGAAUUACAGAACUGAGAUUACAGGAUCAUCCAAGACUGAAGUUAAGUUGCUUGUUUCUUGUUUAAUACUUAAUUUUAGGAUGGCAUAAUUGAAAUCAGAAUAAUCAAAUUUUACAUUUAUACUCUGUAGCAGAUACAUAUAAAGAUGUUAAAAUAUUGUUGCUCACACUGUAUAUGCAUUACCUGUUGAUUUUAUACUUUAAUUUUACUAUAGUUAAAGGUAUAUUUAUAUUAUUGCCAUGAAAUUAAAUGUUUAUUUAUAACUUCCAGUUGCAGAACUAUUCUGGCUCUGAAGAGUGUGUUACUUCACCUGCCAGUGGUCAUGAGCUGAGCAAACCUGUUGAGCUCAUUACAGAUUUCACAAUACUGAAGUUGAGUUGAGGGAAAUGGAGAGAUGAUUGAUUCACAAGGUUCCAGUGACGAUUUUGGAGGGAAUGGAAGGGUCAUGUACAUCAUUGACAGAUGAAAUGAGGAAACAAGUACUAGGUAUUUACAGUGCAACCUCUGUAGAGCAACACCCUUUUUGAAAGUGUUUUUCAGAACAUCUUGGAUUUUAUGGAUGAGGGGCCCUUAUUUAAAGGUUGCAUGAAAGACUAUAAAGCUGGUCUCCAUACAGACUUGACCGGUUAUGGUUUCAUGAAGAUUUUAUGACAAGACUGGAGGAAGCCUAUUUACUAGCUGACAGUGCCGAAGUGGUUAUUGUUGAAGAAUAGUGAAGCGUAUGCAAUUUGGAGAUCUCAGCAGUUAUAUGCAGUCUGGGGAUAUCGUCAGUUGUAUGCAGUCAGAAGAUCAUGACAGUUUUAUGCAGUCCAGGGACUCAACAGUACUUUGCAGUCCAGGGAUCUUGACAGUUGUAUGCAGUCAGGAGAUCACAACAGUUGUAUGCAGUCCGGGGAUCUCUACAGUACUUUGCAGUCCAGGGAUCUUGACAGUUGUAUGCAGUCAGGAGAUCUUGGAUCUUUUUAUACUGUUGACAUUCUCAAGAUUCUGUCUUAAAUAAAACUUAUUUGGACAGCUUAAAAGCUUCUCUAUAACUUGCCUGUGACAUUCUAAAGUAGAAGACAUGUGUAUGAAUAUUUAGUUCCGGCAUGCCAUACUUGAGCAGUUGAGUUUUGGAAAGGUGGCCAUUUGAAUGAACUAUUAUUUGGCAAAUUGACGUGGAUUUUGGUAGUAAAUAUGUUAUCAGUGGUGCAAGACUGGAAUUUUGACUCUUAAGGUGAAAAAGUGGACUAACCGCAUGAUGAGAGAUCUAUACCUUUGCACAGGCUAUAAAGAAGUGUCAUCUGUUUUCAUGGGUAGUUUCGAGGACUUUAUAAGUAAUGUUUUGCAGUUUGUGUAUUUUUGAAUGUGUUGAAGCACAAUGAGGAACCUUUGGACUUAACAGCAGUGUCAGAACAGGACAACUGGUUCAGCUGGCAGGUCUGGGAUGUCCAGUGCCCAGACUGCUGGUGCCGGGAACCCCACUGACAGAACAACUAGUUUGGCUGGCUGGUCCAGGUCCUCACAGACCCAGACAGCUGGUGCCGCAAACCCCACGGACGUCAGCAGGAAUGGAGUUCACCAUAUGGAGUCAGAAGAAACUGAAAAUACAAAACUGUUUUGAUUAGUGAUGACAACCGCACUGAAAGGACAAGUGGUUUGGCUGGCCGGUCUGGGGUAUUCAGUGCCCAGACUGCUGGUGCCGCGAAUCCAAAUGACAGGACAACUGGUUCGGCUGGCCGGUUUGGGUCCUCACAGACCCAGACUGCUGGUGCCGCGAACCCUACAGAUGUUGACAGGAAUGGAGUUCACCAUAUGGAGUCGAAAGAAACUGAAAACACAAAACUGUUUUGAUUAGUGAUGACAACCGCACUGACAGGACAACUGGUUCGGCUGGCUGGUCUGGGGUGUCCAAUGCCCAGACUGCUGGUGCCGCGAACCCCACCGACAGGACAACUGGUUCGGGUCCUCACAGACCCAGACUGCUGGUGCCACAAACCCCACGGAUGUCCGCGGCUCUCAUCUGGUGGAAGAAACAGCUACAGGUGGUGAGCAGCAUAGAAACGAGCACUCUGGAAAUCGAGGAUAUGAUUCCAAUUGUGACCAGGCUGGUGACCUUGAUCGUGGUCAUACGGAUACGGAGGAUUUGAUAGACAGGCGGGGAACCGCAGACAGGGCAUGAAUAAAGGACAGGGCGGGUAUCAUGGAAGAGGUGCAUUAGAUAAACAGGGCGGGAGUGAUCGUUCUAUGAGAUAUUGUUCUGGAGAUCGCAGUGGGCAUGAUUCUUAACACCCACACCCUGGGAGUUCAGUAGUAGAGGUUGACAGAGCAUAUUUCAGAGAUGAUAGGAAGACAGAGAGAGCACAGACACAGGAGACGAUAGCCGUCGAAGCCACCAACGUCUUGACUGAGACUUUUAUAAUUAUUGUAAUAAACUUGGUUGAAUGUGAAUGGAUGGAACACAAAUGGCUUCUCAGAUAAUUUUAAUUUUAGAGCAAAUUUUAUUGAUAAACUUCAUUUUGAUGUAAUUGUUAUUUCAGAAACACACCUAGCAGGUGAUAAGAUAAUUGAACUGUCUAUGUAUUUUAUGGACACAAUAGAAAAAAUAUUCACAUAAAUGCACAAACUGGUUCACGUGGAGUUUGUAUUUUUGUAAAAAGGUCCAUUUGCAUUGAAAUUUUAGACACAAGCUAUGAGGGAAUUUUAUGGUUAAGUUUUAAAUCUAAAAAAGUUUUGAGAAAAUUUUUACUGUUUGUGCUUGCUUUUUGCCAAAAAUGGAAUCUUCUGCAUAUGUGGAGAUCAUGAUUAUUUUGACCAACAGUUAAGUAAUAUGUAUGAGUAUCAGAAAUUUGGUAAAUUGUUUAUUCAUCAGCAGAUCGGGUGUAAGAGAUAACUGGCGAAGUUCUGUACCAUUUGAAUUUGUAGAUGAUACUGGGAUUUGUACUUCUAGCCCUUCUAGUUUUAGUUUUAAGGUAUUAGAUCACAGGCCCGUAGCUACGUUGAGGCAAGUGAGGCAGUUGCCUCGGUUAAAAUUUGGCAUGCAAUGAAAAAGUAAUUAAGUACAUGUAUUUCAAUUAAGAAUACAAAUGGUACCAAUUAAAGUUCAAGUUCAAAAACAUAGGGAAAUGAUAUAUUACACCCAUUCAGAAUGACUUUACAGUAACAGCCGUAAUAUAGAUCUACAGCCUAUUAAUCAGAUUUAGAAUUAUGGAUCCGCUUACUCAUAAGUAAAAAAUCAGUACAAAACUACAUUAAAAACACCAAAUUUAAAGUAGUAAAACAUAGUCGCAGGACCCUCCAUAUGCACCAUAGACGACCUAAAGAAAAAAAAUUUUCCGGGGGAGCAUGCCCCCGGACCCCCCUAGACUGCCUCGGUUAAAAUUAGCCUCUGGCUACGGGCCUGGAUCACUAAAAGUGAUGUUUACAAAAUGG
rnacentral:misc_RNA from 1 species